GAUGAACGCUGGCGGCGUGCUUAACACAUGCAAGUCGAACGGAAAGGCUCCUGCUUGCUGGGGUACUCGAGUGGCGAACGGGUGAGUAACACGUGGGUGAUCUGCCCUGCACUUCGGGAUAAGUCUGGGAAACUGGGUCUAAUACCGGAUAGGACCACAUUUUGGAUGGUGUGGUGGAGAGUUUUUCGGUGUGGGAUGAGCUCGCGGCCUAUCAGCUGGUUGGUGGGGUAAUGGCCUACCAAGGCGUCGACGGGUAGCCGGCGUGAGAGAGUGUACGGCCACAUUGGGGCUGUGAGACGGCGCAGACUCCCACGGGAGGCAGCGAUGGGGAAUAUUGCGCAAUGGGCGCAAGCGUGAUGCAGAGAAGCCGCGUGGGGGAGGAGGGCCUUCGGGUUGUAAACUCCUUUCGCUAGGGACGAAGCGCUUUUGUGACGGUACCUGGAGAAGAAGCACCGGCUAACUACGUG
rnacentral:rRNA from 1 species